rnacentral:tRNA from 1 species
GCCGGCGUAGCUCAAUGGUAGAGUGGCCGAAAUUGUAAUCGGCAGAUGGAGCGUUCGAUUCCUCCCGCCGGCU